rnacentral:rRNA from 1 species
AGCGAACGCUGGCGGCAGGCUUAACACAUGCAAGUCGAGCGCCCCGCAAGGGGAGCGGCAGACGGGAGAGUAACACGUGGGAACGUACCUUUCAGUUCGGAACAACCAAGGGAAACUUUGGCUAAUACCGGAUACGCCCGUAAGGGGAAAGAUUUAUCGCUGAAAGAUCGGCCCGCGUCUGAUUAGCUAGUUGGUGGGGUAAUGGCCCACCAAGGCGACGAUCAGUAGCUGGUCUGAGAGGAUGAUCAGCCUCACUGGGACUGAGACACGGCCCAGACUCCUACGGGAGGCAGCAGUGGGGAAUCUUAGACAAUGGGGGCAACCCUGAUCUAGCCAUGCCGCGUGAGUGAUGAAGGCCUUAGGGUUGUAAAGCUCUUUCAGCUGGGAAGAUAAUGACGGUACCAGCAGAAGAAGCCCCGGCUAACUCCGUGCCAGCAGCCGCCGUAAAAC